rnacentral:lncRNA from 1 species
UUCUAGAUGUGAGAAUCUUGAGUGAUGUGAGUCACGUUUUAGUUGGAUUUUCAUACGUUUUCAGAUAGAUUUUAGUUAGAUUUUCACAAAAAGCAUUACUAUCUUAAUUGUUUGUGAAGUUCACUUAGGCAAAAAUUAUGUAUUUCAAGGCAACACAAGAUAAAACUUGGUGCUUUUUGAGCCCUCCUCUUGGUGCUGGUAGGUUAUUUAGGGCCUUGGAAAGGAAGAAAUCUCAUAUUCUGUGUCUAAAUUAUGUUAAAACUGUGCAGACAUCCAGUUUCCAAGGUCCCUGAGAGAAAAUGCAUGCAACAAUGAAUUAAGGAGAAAAGAAUUAAAGAGUGUAGCAGACAUCUCACCUCCUGUUGCCCGUAUUAGCCCUUCAUGGACAGUGAGAUUAAAAACACAGGUUGCUCUCCAGUGAAACUUUAAUUGCAGAGCUUUA